GUAGGAGGCGAGCGUUAUCCGGAUUCACUGGGCGUAAAGCGCGUGCAGGUGGCUUGGUAAGUUGGGCGUGAAAUCUCCCGGCUCAACUGGGAGAGGUCGUUCAAUACUACCGGGCUAGAGAGCAGAAGAGGAAGAUGGAAUUCCCGGUGUAGUGGUGAAAUGCGUAGAUAUCGGGAGGAACACCAGUGGCGAAGGCGAUCUUCUGGUCUGUUUCUGACACUCAGACGCGACAGCUAGGGUAGUAAACGGGAUUAGAGACCCCGGUAAUCCUAGCCGUAAACGAUGUGAACUUGGCGUUGGUGGGUUAAACUCCAUCAGUGCCGCAGCAAACGCGAUAAGUUCACCGCCUGGGGACUACGGCCGCAAGGUUAAA
rnacentral:rRNA from 1 species